GAGAUAUGAGGAGAAUCCUGUAGAAUCUUGAAUUCUGUUUUGAAGACUUCAUAUCCAACUCUGAUCUCAUUAAAGUA
rnacentral:snoRNA from 1 species